rnacentral:rRNA from 1 species
AACAAACGCUGGCGGCGUGCCUAAUACAUGCAAGUCGAACGGGUAGCAAUACCAGUGGCGCACGGGUGAGGAAUACAUAGAUAAUCUGCCUUCGAGUCGGGGAUAACCAGUCGAAAGGUUGGCUAAUACCGGAUAAGACCACAAGAUCUGCGGAUCUAGGGGUUAAAGGUUUUUCGCUUGAAGAUGAGUCUAUGCGAGAUUAGCUAGUUGGUGAGGUAAUGGCUCACCAAGGCGACGAUCUCUAACUGGUCUUAGAGGAUGAUCAGUCACACGGGAACUGAGACACGGUCCAGCCUCCUACGGGAGGCAGCAGUAGGGAAUAUUGCGCAAUGGGGGAAACCCUGACGCAGCGACGCCGCGUGAGUGAUGAAGGCCUUCGGGUCGUAAAGCUCUGUCGUAUGGGAAUAACACAAUGAAUGUACCAUGCAAGAAAGGAUCGGCUAACUUCGUGCCAGCCGCCGCGGUAA